UGAUUCAGAGAUUUGCAGAUACGCACACUGACAGAUACACAGACGUAAAGAUUCACACACUGACACACAGACAUACAGAUACAAUGACACACACACAGAUACAUACUCUGACACACACAGUACAGACUCAGUCAGAUACACUGAUACUUAUAUAAGAGAAGUUUAAUGCUGGAUUUGGAAUUAAAAAAAAUGCAACACAAUCACUCAAAAGAGAAACUAUGGAAAUAAGGAGUAAUUAUUUUGGGGAAAUAAAGUUUUUUUCUUUCCCCUAAAUAAAUGAAAUAAUAUAAAAACACUCACAAUAAAAAUAUCGAACACUCACAAUAAUAAUAGAAAGUAGGAGGUAAAGGAGUUUAAUCUAUGUAUGAAGACAAGAUUACGUUUGCUUAUUGUAAUACCCAGAAAUAUACAUCAGCACACAAUGUCCUGGUUAUAUACAUAUUAAACAAUAUAGAUAUGUAAAUAUAAUAUAGUUAUGAGCAACAUCAAUCUUUGAUGAUAAAUGAUAAAUUUAAAAAUGACGAAAUUAUAGUGAAAAUGGACAAUUGUGUGCUGGUGAAUAGGAUGGGAACAAUUGGGGAAGGUAUGUGCAGUUCAACUGGAAAAUAUAAAAUGAACUAUUAUGUAAUUUUUUUUUCAUAUGACACAUUAUGGACAGCAAUAUUUGGCAUUACCUCUGGCGACCACCAGAACGUUGUUCGCCGGAUCAGAUGGAAUGCACGGCCAUUUUAAGCAGAGACACAGUGGAACACACGGAAGUGCGCCAAACCGGAAGUGGACUCCGGAAUUAAAAUUUGACCACAAAAAAAAGAAACAACCAAAUGGAAACAGUUGGGACAACCUUUUUUACGGCAAGUACUGGAAGAUAGGAGGUCCAAUCAGAAGAGAAGUAUGGAUCAACAUCCACCACUCUCAGCUCUCCCAUAUUUAAGGGAAUGAGGGGGAGGGGGCAGGAAGGGGGAAACAGGCUCAUUUGUACACUUGUUCAUUUUUUGUAGUGUAUUUGUAUGUUUUAUCAUUCUUGUUUUAGUUUUUGGUCCCUGAGGAAGCUUCCUAAGGGGAAGGAAACGCGUAGGACCGUUAUUGUUUUAUAUUUUGUAUUUUAAGCCAAUAAAUUCCUUUUUUAUUGAACCAUUGGGAGCAUGUGGACUUCCCGAUUUUGGAAUUGGCUUAAUUACCAAGGACAGGACGCACCCCCCUGACCAUAGGGGAGGCACCCUGAAGGCCUGAUACAAAACAUCAAUUUGAGAGUGUAACCUUGAAACGUGAAAUGAUUUGUUUAAGGCUGAUACUUUAUUACACUAUGUUGUAUUUUGUGUUUAUAUUUUAGUGAUAUAAGCUGGAUCCCUGGUCGAUUUGUAUUUAGGUAUAACAUAGGCAUAUAAUAUGGCAAUGGUUUAACACAUUACAGCGGCUAAAAGCAAUCAGCUGUCAAGAGAUUUAUGAUAGGGAACUUCACUUAGAAACCAACUUCACACAGAAAACAGAAUUUCACAGAAUACAACAGUGCAGCAAGAAGCAAU